CUGGGGGCCAGAUGGAGACCAGGUGCUUUACCUUAAUGUGAGUGACAGCACAGUUCUGCUCAGUGAAUGCUCAGCGAGGAAUGACUGCCGGCUUGCGUCGCGUACACAACUGAUGGGCUUUCUGAAAAGACCCGAAGCAACAAGACCAAUGCCAUUCACCAAUAAAGGGAACCAGGUCUCCUUGGAAAAUGGCUGAUUCUAGGACCGAGACAGAUCUUUCUGGCCACCGUGUGGUGAAUGAGCAGUGGUGGGGCAGGCACAGAGGCUGACAGAGCGCUUAGGAACCAUUGCGGUGGACCAGGAGAGAGAGACAGAGUGUGAUUGGGGAGGCGCAGAGAGAGAGACACCCACAGAAUCCACAGCAGGCUCCAGGCUCUGAGCUGUUAGCACAGAGCCCAACGCAGAGCUCAGAGUCGCAAACCACAAGAUCACGACUUGAGCCGAUGUCAGAUGCUUAACCCAAUGAGCCAUCCAGGCGCCCCCCAGAAAAGGUUAGUUAUGGUGCUGUUCUAGGCUCUUGAAGAUACAAAGAGGAGCAAAACAGACAAAAACUCCUGCCCUCUUGGACCUCACUUGCUAAAGGGGAGACAGAGAGGAAACAGAAGAGACUGAAAAAUAUACAUCGUAUAAUGGUGUCGGACGUUGAUGACAAUUUAGUGGAGACCUGAAUGAAGCAAGGGAACGAGACCUAUGGUUAUGUUGGGCGGUGUUUUUCAGGCAGGGAGCAGCUAGUGACAGAUCCCUGAGAAUGGAACACACCUGGAAGUUUCGAGCAAUGGCAAGUGCGCUGGCUAGAGCACCAAGAGUGACCUGUCGAGCGUGAGGCAGUGAGGCCACAGGACCUUACCAGAGGCGCUCAACAGUUUGGGUUGUCAAGACAAGUCAGGGGCAGCAACCAAUCAGCUCCUCGUAUUAAACAGCAUAUUUUGCUGAGCUGGAUUUGACUCCUGGUUGCUACAAAACAAAUCUAAGUUUAUAUCAGAGGUGACAAACUCCAUGCCCUGUCAUUUAUCCUUUUUAUAGCAUGGGCGACACCAAUGGUCAGCAAGUCUUGUUGAUGAGCAUGUGAAUCAAGUAGAGCAGAAAGCAUCCCAAGUCUAGAGGUUUCCUCUGUCAAUAGGUAGAAAUUGUUUGUUUUAAUUAAAAGAGAACUAAUUUAAAACAAAUUC